AGUCAAUGCCAACAACUCAUUGCCUUGCUUAGGUCCUAGUUGUAGCAUAGCUCACCUUCAACUGUGGAAUCGCAACAACAGGGUGGCCCUUCCGUCUCCAGCUUCAGUGGUAAAGUCAUUUUGUUUUCCUCUUGUUCUUCAAUUCCUCUUAAUUCUUGGGUCAUGGAUACUGGGGCAACGCACCAGGUUUGCUGCACUCUAAGUUUAUUCAAAUCCAGUUUUCUAUCUUUCAAUUCCAGUGUCACUCUUCCUAAUGGGGAAUCCGUAGUCACUACUCGUAUACGAUCCAUAAAACUAUUUGAUCAUUUUGUGCUUGAGAACGUCUUAUAUAUUCCCCAAUUUCGAUUCAACUUGCUUUCCAUUAGUGCCCUUACUUAGUCUCAUAGAUGCUUUGUUCAAUUUGAUUUUGAAUCUUGUUUUAUUCAGGACCAUUUGUAGGGGAAGAUGAUUGGGAUGGAUAAACACAGGGGCAACCUUUACAUUUUGGAUCCAACCAACCUUUUUCCCAUCUCAGGUGUUUGUAAUAAUGUCUCUAAGAAAGAACAUGAAGUUUGACAUUCCCAUUUAGGACAUCCUUCUUAUGUUAGACUUAAUGUUUUGAAAAAUGUAUUGCAUUUUAAACAACUCCUUAAUAAAACAUCUCAUUGUUCAAUUUGUCAUUUAGUAGAGCAGAACAUUUACCAUUUCCUAAUUCUAAUUCUGUGUCAAUUUCUGCUUUUGAAUUGUUGCAUUUGGAUAUUUGGGGUGCUUUCCAUUUACUAACCCAUGCUGGGUUCCAUUAUUUCCUUUCCAUUGUGGAUGAUUUUACUUGUUUUACUUGGGUGUAUUUGUUGAAAGCUAAAUCUGAUGUUGCUAGCAUUUUUCCUCCAUUUUAUAAUCUUGUCCACACAUAAUAUGGUGUUAAAAUCAAAUCAGUUCAUAGUGAUAAUGCACCUGAAUUAGCUUUCACAGAUUUCUUUCAUGACAAAGGGAUAUUGUCUUUCCAUUAUUGUGUUGACACUCCUCAACAAAGCUCUAUUGUGGAACAAAAACACCAACACCUUUUGAAUGUAACCCGAGCUCUAUUGUUUCAAUCUCAUAUCCCAUUAGCAUAUUGGGGUGAUUGCAUUUUAACUGUUACAUAUCUCAGAAAAAUGAUACCUUCCCCUAUCUUGUCUAAUAAAACCCCUUUUGAAGCUUUGUAUCAUAAGGUUCCUUCCUAUAGUCAUCUUCAUACUUUUGGUUGCCUAUGCUAUAGAUCUACACUCACUCGUCAUCGUGAUAACUUCUCUCAUAGGGCAAUUCGGUUUGUGUUCCUCGGUUACCUUCCAGGCUAUAAAGGCUACAAAUUGUUAAAUCUUGAUACUAAUGCAAUUUACAUUAGCAGGGACGUAGUAUUUCAUGAAGCUUUGUUUCAUUUUUGGACAAAUAACCAAGAACUUUCUGUUUCUGAGUUGUUUUCUGACAAUGUUCUUCCUUCUGCACAUAGGAGCACUUUUUCUUCACCUUUUCCUUUGGUCAAUGAUCCAACUCCUACUUCUCCCAAGAAAAAUCUUGUCACUGCUCAUUCUCACCCUUUUUGAGUCACAAAGCCACCCUUCUAUCUCCGAGAUCACCACUGCUAUGCCAUUGUUUCACAACCCACUCCUGUUUUGUAUCUUCUUUCUAGUGGGCUUAGUUAUGAUAAACUCUUAUCUUCUCAUCGUGCCUUAGUUCAUGCUAUCUCUUCACAUGUUGAACCCACUUCUUUCACCCAAGCUGUUGAAAUUCUAGAGUGGCAGCAAGCUAUGCAGGCAGAACUACAAGCUCUUGAGGUGAAUGAUACAUGGUCCUUAACCACCCUUCCUCUUGGUAAAUGAGCUAUGGGAUGUAAAUGGGUUUACAAAUUAAAAUUUCGAGCUGAUGGUACACUUGAGCGUCAUAAAGCACGCUUAUUGGUAAAAUGAUAUACUAAAAAAGACUCUGUGGAUUACGUAGAUACAUUUUCCUCAUUGGCUAAAUUGGUAACAAUUAAACUUUUGUUGGCUUUAACAGCUAUUCAUGGGUGGCAUUUCAUCCAAUUGGAUGUUAACAAUGCUUUUCUUCACGAUGAUUUAAUUGAGGAGGUCUACAUGUGCUUGCCUCAAGGAUAUUCCCAUGAGGGGGAGACUCCUCCUCCUAACACUGUUUGUAGGUUGCACAAGUCAAUUUAUGGCCUCAAACAAGCUUCAAGACAAUGAUUUGCCAAACUUUCAAGAGUACUAUUAAGGAAAGGUUUCACUCAGUCAUCCUCAGAUCAUUCAUUGUUUAUUAAAAAUAAUGUUGACUCUUUCAUUGCAGUUCUUAUGUAUGUGAUGAUAUCAUUGUUGCCAACAAUGAUUCUAACGGUAUUGCAAAUCUCAAAUGCUUUAUUGAUUGUCAAUUCAAGCUUUAGGAUCUUGGACAACUCAAAUACUUUCUUGGUCUUGAAGUAGCCAGGUCAAAGAAGGGAAUCUCUGUUAGCCAAAGACACUAUGCCCUUCAACUACUCUUAGAAGUAGGAUUUCUGGGCUGUAAACCUGCAACUAUCCCCAUGGAAACUAACAUUAAGCUUAUUCAAGAUGAUGGAGAGCCACUCGAAGAUCCUGAAUUGUACAACGCUUAAUUGGCAAGCUUUUAUAUUUGACAAUUACAUGACCAGACUUGUCAUAUGCAGUGAAUCGACUUAUAGUCAGUAUCUUGCAAAUCCAAGGACAUCUCACCUAUAAGCAGUUCAUUGUGUUUUACAAUAUAUCAAAGGAACUGUGGGGUAGGGUCUUUAUUGCUUUUCAUCUUCAACAGUUCAACUAAAUGCUUUUGUAGAUUCAGAUUGGGCUGCUUGCAAAGAAAUGAGGAGAUCAAUUAGUGGUUUUUUGUGUAUUUCUUGGAGAGUCACUGAUUUCAUGGAAAUCAAAUAAGCAAAGCACCGUGUCUCAUUCAUCUGUAGAAGCAGAGUAUCGAGCAAUGGCUAAUGUUACUUGUGAACUGGUUUGCCAAUCCCAUGUUCCAUGAACAGACAAAACGCAUUGAGAUCGACUGUCAUCUUGUGCGAGAGAAGAUUCAAGCAUGUUGUCUUAAAACAAUGCAUGUUUCAUCCAAACACCAGGUUAUUACUAAAGCAUUGUUUCUAGCUCAGUUCAAGUUUUUGCUCAACAAGAUGGGAAUUCACAAUUUGCAUUCUCCAUCAUGAGAGAGGGGAAGGGGGGUCGUAUUAGAAUAUUAUGACAUUUUUGUAAUUAGCAAUUCCCAAUUCAGUUGAUAUAUAUAUAUCUUUUGAUGAGCUGGAGUAGUUAGUGUGGUUGUGAGACUCCAAGCUCCAUAUAGGUCACCAUUUUUGUGCAUCCCGGAACUGUACAGAAAUCAUUGAUGUUUUCUUUUAGGCUUUGUUUUCUU